rnacentral:rRNA from 1 species
UAGGGAAUAUUGGACAAUGGGGGCAACCCUGAUCCAGCCAUGCCGCGUGAGUGAAGAAGGCCCUCGGGUUGUAAAGCUCUUUUGUCCGGAAAGAAAAGCUUCGGGUUAAUACCCCGGGGUUCUGACGGUACCGGAAGAAUAAGCACCGGCUAACUUCGUGCCAGCAGCCGCGGUAAUACGAAGGGUGCAAGCGUUACUCGGAAUUACUGGGCGUAAAGCGUGCGUAGGUGGUUGUUUAAGUCUGAUGCGAAAGCCCUGGGCUCAACCUGGGAAUGGCAUUGGAAACUGGGCAGCUAGAGUGCGGUAGAGNGUAGUGGAAUUCCCGGUGUAGCAGUGAAAUGCGUAGAGAUCGGGAGGAACAUCUGUGGCGAAGGCGACUGCCUGGACCAGCACUGACACUGAGGCACGAAAGCGUGGGGAGCAAACA